AGCGAACGCUGGCGGCAGGCCUAACACAUGCAAGUCGAACGAACCUUUCGGGGUUAGUGGCGGGCGGGUGAGUAACACGUGGGAACGUGCCUUUAGGUUCGGAAUAACUCAGGGAAACUUGUGCUAAUACCGAAUGUGCCCUUCGGGAGAAAGAUUUAUCGCCUUUAGAGCGGCCCGCGUCUGAUUAGCUAGUUGGUUGAGGUAAUGGCUCACCAAGGCGACGAUCAGUAGCUGGUCUGAGAGGAUGAUCAGCCACAUUGGGACUGAGACACGGCCCAAACUCCUACGGGAGGCAGCAGUGGGGAAUCUUGCGCAAUGGGCGAAAGCCUGACGCAGCCAUGCCGCGUGAAUGAUGAAGGUCUUAGGAUUGUAAAAUUCUUUCACCGGGGACGAUAAUGACGGUACCCGGAGAAGAAGCCCCGGCUAACUUCGUG
rnacentral:rRNA from 1 species